CAGUCGCCACGGUAAUACGAAGGGUGCAAGCGUUACUCGGAAUUACUGGGCGUAAAGCGUGCGUAGGUGGUGGUUUAAGUCCGUUGUGAAAGCCCUGGGCUCAACCUGGGAAUUGCAGUGGAUACUGGGUCACUAGAGUGUGGUAGAGGAUAGUGGAAUUUCCGGUGUAGCAGUGAAAUGCGUAGAGAUCGGAAGGAACAUCUGUGGCGAAGGCGACUAUCUGGGCCGACACUGACACUGAGAGACGAAAGCUAGGGGAGCAAAUGGGAUUAGAUACCCCAGUAGUCCCUGUCUCUUAUAC
rnacentral:rRNA from 1 species